CUGCUUUCUCUCACUGAGUGUUACGUUGAAAUUACGACAAAAAUCAGUUAUAUUUAUUAUAAUUGUUUUAUAAGAUUGUUUUUUUAAUGCUUGAAUUUAUUUUGUUUGAUUUAAUUUUUGUAAGAUAUCAAUUGGUGGCGUGGAUAGUUUAUGCAUAAUAUCAUUUACUGACCAACUGACAAAGGUCAUAACAAUUUGGUAGCCAUGGUAACCAAGGUUCUUAUUUUGGUAGUUGGGUGUAUUUGCUGUGUAUCUGCAAUGCCCUAUGGUCAAAGUGGUGACGGCGGAUUUGGUGAAGGCGGAUUUGGUGAAGGCGGAUUUGGCCAGGGCGGAUUUGGUCAAGGUGGAUCGGGCCAAGGUGGAUUAGGUCAAGGUGGAUCUGGCCAAGGUGGGUUUGGCCAAGGUGGAUCUGGCCAUGGUGGAUUUGGCCAAGGUGGGUUUGGUCAAGGUGGAUCUGGCCAAGGUGGAUCUGGCCAUGGUGGAUCUGGCCAUGGUGGAUUUGGUCAAGGUGGAUUUGGCCAAGGAGGAUUUGGUGAGGGUGGUAAUGGUCUUGGAAAAUAAAUAACUACAUUUUUAUGACCACAAUUUGUAAAUAUUACGAAUUUUAUCUGCUAAUGGUAUUCUGUUAAUAUGUAAUGAUGAAAUUAUUUUUAAAUUUGUGAUCAGUUUCAUUUGAAGGAAUUUUUAUCAUUUCACUUACCUUGUUUAAAAUUAAAAAAAAUUAAAAAUAUAUCUCUAAUCAAAGUCCAUAAUUUUAACUUACAUCAAGAAAAUUGCAGUUUAUAUUUAUUAUGUUUGCGCCAAUUUUCUAUUUAUCAAUAUCUCAGGGAGCUUGUUUCUCCACAACAAAUGUACUGUUAUUCAGUGACAGUGAUUUAUUGAUCUAGCCAAAGAGAAUUUAAACAUUACGUGAUCUAGCUGUUUUUGAGAUAGCGUGCCCACACGAAAGGACGCAGAAACUUAAAUCUAUGUUUUUUAACUACAUAGUUAUGUCCAAUAUAAAUUUCAUAAUCGAAAAAAAAUUACAGUGAAUCCACUUUAUCAAAUAUUGCUUAAGAGCGGUACAAAUCGUUCAAUAGUGGUCGAAAUAUGCUGGAAAAUUAGCCUCACUCUGGUCAACGUCUUAAACUGUAGUUAACAUCGCAAAAGUAAAGCAAACAGUUAAAAAUCUUUUAUUUUGGUUGGGAGAGAAAGCCACUGAACUUUCUGUGUCUUACAAGUCGAUCCUUAUCAUUUUACAUAAUCACUUGGGUAUGAAACAUGUUGCCGCUCGGCGAAGUCCCAAAAGACCUGAAUUUUCUCCAAAAACUCAAUCGCAUAAGAGUCGCUGAGGACAUGCAUGAACGAGUCAAUUACGACUUAUGACAAAUAAUCUAAAACUUUUUUGAGAUCUCAUUCGAAAGUAGAUAUAUUUUGUCAAAUUGCCGCACACACAAAAGUCCAAUUUAGCCACGUUUUAAAUUUAUAUGUUGAUAUCCGCACACUAGAUAUGCCAAAAAGAUACCCUGGAAAGGAUGUUUAAGUCUAAAAGGCAAUAUUUAACAAAUAAAAUUUAUUUCAGGGAACUUAAAAUUUUAAUAACCAGUUUAACGAAUUAUUUUAUGUCAAUAAAAAUAUUAUAUUUGA